CCGCCCUUAGCUCAGUUGGUUAGAGCAUCGAGCUUAUACCUCGACGGUCCCACGUUCGAAUCGUGGAGGGCGGA
rnacentral:tRNA from 1 species